rnacentral:lncRNA from 1 species
UGCACAGAAAUAAUAAAGGAAAUCUUUGCCUUGAACUCUGCCACUUUAUAAACAGACACACAAAGAUGUUCAUUAAUUUAGGUGAGCCAGAGGAUUAAAGAAUUGUUUUAGUUUGCUUGUAUCACUGCUUUAUUGUUCUCUUAUCUAUUUCAGUUUUAGUAAAGAUUAAGGGAAAGCAGACCUGAAUUAAAACAUUUAACAGAACAAAGGACUUGAGACAGAAGAAUUCCCCAGAUGUCUGGCUUAGUUCAAUGAUUUAUUGCUCUGAUCCCUAUUUGAAUGGACAGG